GGCUGGUUUUUAUUUGACCUGCUAUGCUGAGUGACCAUUCCCAGAGUACUCCCUCUGGACCAAAGUAGUUGGGAUGUCAGGGGUGGGAGUAGAAGGUUUUCAGCCUUAUGCACACAUUGUUUUCUUUCUGACACCCCUUUUCUCCAUAGACACUCAGUCUUGGAAGUGAGCCUGAUUCACUUGCCUGGACAAUUUCCGAGGGCUUCUCCGAUGAUUGCCGCAGUCUGCAUCCUGAUUUGAGUGCUGGUUACGUUGGCAGGAUCCGAGAGCUUCCAGGAACUGUGAUACCUACGUGCC